CUUUGGCUUGUUUCUAUUUUUUUUUUUUUAAAUUUGUUUUCAUCUAUUUUUGUAGUUCUCCUGUUUCUACAAAUAUAUUAAGCAUUCUCACCAUUGGUGGGUGUUGUAAUGUUCUUAGGUGGAGGAUUCAAUAUUUCCCCGUUGAAACCUCGUAAUGGGAGGCCUAGAGCAAAGGUCCAACACCUUAUGCAAAUUGAUUUGAAAGGUUGGGGUGUAGGUUACAUUUCAUCAUUUCAGCAGCAUUGCCUCCUUCAGAUGUUAAAUAGUGUUUCUGGUGAGUUCUUAUAUUUUCGUCUUUUGCUUGGUUAAAGUUUGGAGUGGUGGUUCUGUGAUUGUAUCGAUGAUGUCUGUGGCUCUUUUCUUUUCGGAUGUGUUGUUCUGAUUGUGUAGUUACGUUUUAUAUUGUAUUGUAUUGUAUUAAUGGUCUGCGGGUGGUCUGUGUUAUAUUAAUGGUAGGUAUUAGAAUGGUUAUUUUUUGUAGUGUUAGUGCUUUACAAAACUGUUUUUUUUUUUCUUGGAAAGAAACGGUUGCUUGCGUACAUAUUUUGGCCAUGGCUAUGGAUUCGUAAUCUGGGAACAUGAAACAUGAAUUACAAAUUGAGAAAAGAAUCGCCAUUUAGAAACUCCAGAGUCCAGAUGAAUAAUAAAACUAGCAAACCUCUAACCAAUUCCUUUUAUUUUAUCUUCGAAUCUUCAUUUUAUUAGUAAUUUUUAAUGUGUUGAAGCUGUAUAUGGCAAAGAGAGAACAAACAAAUUUGUUCUUGGUUCAAAACUCCUCAAACUUGCACACUUCUUCACAUGAGGCAAUUGCUCUUCCUUUUACCGUCAUUUUCCAGUACCUUAUCAAUCAUUGUUAACCUUUUUGGGGAUUCAAUUUUAUUUUAAUUUUUAUUACUGUAAAGGAUUUUCUCCGCUAUCCUCUUCUGUAGUUAUUUUAUUUUUGCAUCCUAGGUUUCUUUGAAAGUUGAUGAAACUAUAGGUGUGCCCCAUGGAUAUAGUAGAGAAUAAUCAUUGUAACUAAUAGUCACCUUUUUCGAUUUUUUUCUUCUACAUUCUGUCUGCUUGACUUGUUCCGAUGAAAUUCUUUUUUUCCACUGCUAUCCAUUGUUUUUUUCAUAGGAACUAUUGUCGUGAGUAUUUUUCCCAAAC
rnacentral:lncRNA from 1 species